rnacentral:rRNA from 1 species
GAUGAACGCUGGCGGCGUGCCUAAUACAUGCAAGUCGAGCGAACAGACGAGGAGCUUGCUCCUCUGACGUUAGCGGCGGACGGGUGAGUAACACGUGGAUAACCUCCCUAUAAGACUGGGAUAACUUCGGGAAACCGGAGCUAAUACCGGAUAAUAUAUUGAACCGCAUGGUUCAAUAGUGAAAGACGGUUUUGCUGUCACUUAUAGAUGGAUCCGCGCCGCAUUAGCUAGUUGGUAAGGUAACGGCUUACCAAGGCAACGAUGCGUAGCCGACCUGAGAGGGUGAUCGGCCACACUGGAACUGAGACACGGUCCAGACUCCUACGGGAGGCAGCAGUAGGGAAUCUUCCGAAAUGGGCGAAAGCCUGACGGAGCAACGCCGCGUGAGUGAUGAAGGUCUUCGGAUCGUAAAACUCUGUUAUUAGGGAAGAACAAAUGUGUAAGUAACUAUGCACGUCUUGACGGUACCUAAUCAGAAAGCCACGGCUAACUACGUG